AGACAUUAGCUUACACCCUGGAGCAUAGGACAUAAAGGACUUUUGUCUCUUUAUUGUGAACUGCCACCAUCCCUAUCCUAGAGCCAUGGAACCUGUCGGACAUUCAUUUAUCAAUGGCAUGUGCACCAUAUGUAUGCAGUGCCUUCAGAAGUCAAAAGAAGGCAUUAGAUUCCCUAGAACUGGAGCUAUGGAUGGCUGUGAGCCACCAUGGAGGGGUUGGGCACUGAACCAGGAACUCUACAAAAGCAGCCAAUGCUCUUACCUGCUGAGCCAUCUCUGUAGCCUUAGCCCUCAGGUUCAGCUGGUUGAGACCAUCUUUGCUGUGGGCGAAAACAGCUUGCCCAUCCCCUCUCUUUGAGGAGUCAUACUGUGAGAAGCCAUUCUGGACUCCCUGGCCAGCCCGGGCCACACCCUAAGAUGGCACCUGACAGAAAUCUGUGCCAGGCAGUAAACAAGCCCAUAUUUGGUGGAUGGCUCGCCCUUAAUCCCUGAUUGGCUGAGCAAGCCUGCCUGGUGAGGUGAUGUGACCUGUGGUGAUUGGUUGAGGCGUGGUUGUGGCAUGAGUGCAUAAAAACGCUUGUACCCCAAGGCUCGGGGGAGUUGAAGAGAGAAGCUGCCUGAAUAAACUGCAUUAAGAAGAACUGGUGGUUGCGUUUUCCUUGCUGGUCAAGGUGGACAUAACAAGUGGUGCUGAAACCCGGGACCCGACUCCCCCACUGAAGAGGUUCAGAGCUUUCUGAAGUCAGGGUCUGUCGACAGGGUGAGUACGAAUCGCACAGAGCCAGUGUGGGUUCCGGAGUGGCUAGUGCAAUGCUGUCAAAAUGAAGAAGCUGAUCUUGCUGGUGAUGAGCAUGUGUCUGCCCCUGAUGGGUGCAGAACCCAGAUGGGGGAUACCGUCGGUGUUUCCCAGGCCGAUGCCUCUUCGUCAUGAUGCUUCCUGUUAAGAAAUUCCUGUUAAGAAAUUGGACUGCAAAUUUUGAUGGCAAGAUGAAUGAGCUUCACUCGGCGAUUGUCACUGUGAAUUCUACCCCAGUGGAUCCUGGCUUGGCAUCGGGACUAUCCUCUUGGAUUGCUGGCAUGAUGAAUCAUCUUAAAGAAUGGGCUCGGAUAGGUGCCCUCGCUGUGGCCCUUGUUUUGGCAUGCAUGUUGUGUGUAUGGUGUAUGUGUCGGUUGUGGAAUGCCCAGGUCCGCACUGCCGCCACGGUGGUGUAAGCUUUUGCGGCAGUGGAAACAGGGCAGUCACCUCAGAUUUGGCUUGCUGCCAUGAAGAAUGAACAAUGAAGCCAUCACUCCGUAGGAUUGUAAGGCUAAGCACUGCACAGAGGUUAGUCUGGAAGCUAUUUGACGAUCUCUGGGAGGUAUAUCUGAUUGCAUGAGGGUUGAGUGUCCUAGUGUCUUUCCCCCAGGAAAAACAGUAUGGGAGCAGGUCAAGGUUGCUCUGGGUAAGAACCUAUGAGCCUAAGAGCCAAUCCUGUACAUGGCCCCUAUUUCUGCACACUGGGAAUCAGACCUCUAUCUUCACCCACGGAGCUUGCUUCAAAAGAAUAUAAAAGGGGAAAUUGUGGGAACCCAUUCCCUGGCCAGCCCAGGCCGCACCCUAAGAUGGCGCCUGACAGAAAUCUGUGCCAGGCAGUAAAUAAGCCCAUAUUUGGUGAAUGGCUCACCCUUAAUCCCUGAUUGGCUGAGCAAGCCUGCCUGGUGAGGUGAUGUGACCUGUGGUGAUUGGUUGAGGCAUGGUUGUGGCUUGAGUGCAUAAAAACGCUUGUAUCCUGAGGCUCAGGAGAGUUGAAGAGAGAAGCUGCCUGAAUAAACUACAUUAAGAAGAA
rnacentral:lncRNA from 1 species